UGGUCACUCAUUUCGCUGUAUGCUUUAGACUGGCGCAACCAUAACCGGCCGCCUUGAAAUCCCUAGUUUCAAAACCUCCUGCUCUAACCAGUGUGUGUUUUCAACAAAUACGGUAAACAGAUGUUCAAUAUACUUCUUACAAACUAUCUAUAUACUAACACUGAUGCUGUAAUUGUUGAUCCAGGUGCCGGAGCUUCGGCACAACGAUGACGGCGAUGAUGAUUCCGUUUCAACAGAUGUGGUAUAUGUAGUAUUCACCGACUGAUGCUGAUCGCUCGAUGAUUCAGACGUGCAGUUCAUUGUUGUUCGUUUUCCUCGACAAAGUGAAGAUUAGAUGUAGUAUCGUGUAGAAAUUUUGGUAAAACUGGAACAACUUACCUGGCAGACAAAUAACAAUGCCUGAAUUUGUUCCGUUGGAUAAAAGCUGUCUGCCAGGCCUCGUGAUUUGAUGAUAAGAUUUCCAUGCAAAUUAACAAUGAUGUUUCCGAUUGAUGACUUGUUGAUGCUGCUCUGAUGACUUGACGUUGACCUUGGUAGUUGCUUUGUGGUUGACUCACAACAGCUUCUUCUUGACAGUGGAUCCGAUGAACCAAGAAUACGAUUUAAAAAUUGACUCGAUGGAUGACGGUGACGAUUUACGGCGGAUGCCGGCUUGAACAGCCUUCGAAUAAACGGAGAUUGAACCUUCUACUAUUUCUUCGGGGAUGACUGGGACGGUGAUGUUGUCGAUGAUUAGUUUGCCUCGAUGAUUGGGAAAAACGAAUGAAGUAUCGCGUAGAAAAAAAUUGAAAACUGGAACAACUUACCUGGCAGACAAUUUGUGGUGCCUGAUUUGUUUCUUUUUGUGAUUAGUUGUCUGCCAGGCCUCCAAAGGUGGGUUGGACUUGAUGACUUGAUUAGGCCGCCUUCUACCUGACUUCUUGACUCUGGUUCCGUUGACAGAGACGUUUACGAGUCGAACGACGACUUCAACGAAUAAACGGGGACUUGACUCUCGACGAUUUUCCAUUUAAACAGGACGAUGACUGAUGAGCUGAUCUCUUCGAAUGGCACUUAUGGGUCGUGCCAUGACUUGAAACACAGCGAUUGUGUAGAUCGACUUGGGUUAUGCUUGGUGGACUGAGGCGGUCCAUGCCGUUGUGCUGAUGGUCUCUUAAUAAAAUGAGAGGGUGCUUUUUAGUCUAUAAUACUGAAAAUGAAAAUGACUUGCCUGGACGGAGGCUCUAGGGCCUCCGUUGGACGCCCGAGCGGCGCCGACGAUCCUCCUCUCUUGUUGAAUUUUGAAGAAUCGGAAUGUAUUGAUGUGUUUGUUUGACGAGGAUAACCACAGUACGAGUUCAGGGAGGCAGAAUUGAGCACUUCUACCUCUGUUGAUUGCAUCGAAUUGUACCUCAAAAUACCAAAUGUGUUUUUGGGUUUUAAUCGCAGGACAAGACCAAACACAACCAAAUAGCUAGACUGACUGACGAAACUGGAUUCACAUGCAACUUCCACCAACGACAACGACACAUAUUACCUCAGUUUAUGGACAUUAUUGGACGUAACACAACUCAGUUCGUUUGAGUGUCAUAUAUUUGGCCAAGCCAAAUUCAGGAGGCAUGUCUGAGGAAAAUGAGAUGGUCACUUUUUGAAUAUUAAACGAAUACAUAACUUAC